rnacentral:rRNA from 1 species
UACAGAGGGUGCAAGCGUUGUUCGGAAUUCUUGGGCGUAAAGGGAGUGUAGGCGGUUUGGUAAGUCUUCUGUGAAAUCUACGGGCUUAGCCUGUAACGUGCAGAGGAAACUACCGAGCUUGAGUGUCGGAGAGGAUAGGGGAAUACCCAGUGUAGAGGUGAAAUUCGUAGAGAUUGGGUGGAACACCAGUGGCGAAGGCGCCUAUCUGGCUGACAACUGACGCUGAGACUCGAAAGCAUGGGGAGCAAACAGG